CAAAAACAUCGCCUUUUGAAUCCUAUAAAAGGUAACGCCUGCCCAGUGACUUUAUGUUUAACGGCCGCGGUACUCUGACCGUGCAAAGGUAGCGUAAUCACUUGUCUUUUAAAUAAGGACUAGUAUGAAUGGCAUCACGAGGACUUAGCUGUCUCCCUCAUCUAAUCAGUGAAACUGAUCUCCCUGUGAAAAAGCAGGGAUUUACACAUAAGACGAGAAGACCCUAUGGAGCUUUAAACCAAAACUACCUGUUUAAUCUACUAUACUAAAGAUAGUACUAAAAUAACCGAUCUAGCUUAGGUUUUCAGUUGGGGUGACUGUGGAGAAAAAUAAAUCCUCCAUGCAGACUUAAGCUUUGAGCAACCGCUCUACGCAUUAGCAAGUCUAACUGCACUUGAUCCAAUCUUUUUGAUCAACGGACCAAGUUACCCUAGGGAUAACAGCGCAAUCCAUUUUAAGAGUCCAUAUCGACAAAUGGGUUUACGACCUCGAUGUUGGAUUAGGACACCCGAGUGGUGCAGCCGCUACUUAAGGUUCGUUUGUUCAACGAUUAAAGUCCUACGUGA
rnacentral:rRNA from 2 species